ACCAGCUUGUCGGCGCCAUUUUGUCUCGGCAGCGGUGGCCGUAGCUCCAUCGCAUUUUAUGUUUCUGGCGAGAAGGGAACGGAGUUUUCAUCAGGUAGAUUGGUUUUUGUGCGGCCGUCCUCCACCGUUUCCUCCAGGACAGCACCUAGUCGUGGCCGGAGGAGUCUCAGAGCUGUCAGAAAGAAUAAGACUGAUUUUAUGGGAAAAUUAAGCAGAUGCUCCAGUUUGAGAAACCUGGAUCUGCGAUCUGUUUGUGAGUGGUAUUCAGUUAAGAGAACAAUUAUUUCGUAUAAGCCACAUCAGAGACGACUGAAGAUGAAAAAACUACCAUCCCCGUAUAUAACUAAUUUGUGCUGUGCACCAACAAGAACCUGCUUUAAAUUUCCAUGGCAAUUUACAACCCCCAUACUGUACCAGGCAAGGUACCAGCAUCAAGAUGAUUUAUGGUAAUAAGAUAUAAAACCAAGGAAAAUAACCUAAAGUCUGAAAAAGACCAGAAUCGAAGUUUCCUGAUUCAUAUUUUAAUGUUUUGAAAUUUAUACUCCAGGCUGGGUGCAGUGGCUUGUGCCUGUAAUCCCAGCACUUUGGGAGGCCGAGGCGGCCGGAUUGCCUGAAGUCAGAAGUUCGAGACCAGCCUGACCAACAUGGUGAAACCCUGUCUCUACUUAAAAAUACAAAAGAGCUGGGCAUGGAGGUGGUGCGCGCCUGUAACCCUAGCUACUCGGGAGGCUGAGGCCUAAGAAUCUCUUGAACCCAGGAGGCAGAGGUUGUAGUGAGCCGGGAUCACGCCACUGCACUCUAGCCUGGGCGACAGAGAGAGAGACUGUCUAAAAAAGGAAAAGAAAAAAAUUUAUACGCCAAAAAAGAUAUUCUGAGAUAACCUGUAGUUACCACUAACUUUGUGACAAAAUUAUAAAAAUCCACAGCCAUCUAUGAAUCUGUAGGCAGACCUGAAGUUUGAACGACUGGUGAAGACAUCUGAUUUUCUUUAUAGCCAAGUUAGGAUAACAAAAUGCAAACAAGUCAUUAAUAUUUACUAUAUGCAAGAUACAGAAAGAUGAAGGAAGGAGUAAGAAGUUAUCCUUCGUGGAACUAUUCAAAGCAAAAAUGCAAAAUACCAGGGAAAGCUUUGAAGAACCAAGAUUUGAGCAGGUUCUUAGAAUAUAGAUUGGAUUGGAUUUGAUUUCAAGAAAGAUGAACGUGUAAAGCAGAAGUGGGAAGCCAAAAACUUUUUUCCAAAUUAGAAUUAAGCAUUCUUUCAAUGAACAUUUGGAAAUCAAGGUAGAAAAAUAUCCCUAGGGCCUAGCUGAGGAGUCUGUAUGUUGUUGGGUUUUGAUAGUAACCAGUCCAAGAUUUUGUUAUUAGACGUGGGUUUCUGAAUAGACAGGCAUUUCUGAACAGACAUGACAGGAUCAAAACAAUGUUUGAGCAAACUGCCCUUCAUCUACUGUGGAUAUGUUGGGGGAUGAUGGAAUAUAGUGAAAGAUAAUGGGUGCUCAUACAGCAGUCUAGACUUAAGGUGAUUCAACUACUAUAUAUUAAACUAGAUUAUCUUUUAUUUUUUAAUUUUGAAAUCUGGAUGCUCAAGCUCUGCCUGCACAACCACAUGAGGAAGAAGGAACAAUGACAACAAAAAUAACACUAAAUUUAAAUUUAAGAGUACUACUUUUAGGAAAUAGACAAACCAUUAUUUGGGUACAACUAAAGGCAACUGGCAUGGACUCAAAUAUUUUGGGGAAGAAAAAGACUAAAAGUUCUAAGGAAGAAAAUGCGAACCUUGAUAGUUUGAAAUAGUUAAAAAGACAGUGUAGAAACUGCUUAGGCAGUUUGAUUAUGGACUAUUAGAUGAUACUUGGGUCUGAUAAUGGUAUAAGGAGAAUAAAGUAUUUAGGGAUCCAAUAUUACGCCUGCAGCUUUUUCCAAAUAGUUCAUGGGGGAGGGGGAUGUGUAAGUGGUUAACUGAAGUCUAACUAGAUAGGUUUGUUGUAAGCUUAGGAUGUUUACAGUUCUUCAUGUUAAGUUGAGCGUGAUGGGAAGGGAAAGAAUGCUGAUCUUUAAAUUUUUGUCCUUAGUUAAGUUCUGUAUUUAGUGAAUUAAUUGCAUCCUAAAAAGUCAAACUUGAAAAGCACAUUUUAAAUGGCAAAUCUAUUUUUUACAUGUUUGUGAAGUUUUUAUUUUUUAGUAAACAGACCAUCAGAAGAGAACAAUGGUACAGAGCAGGGGUCAGCAGAUGGAUUUUGUAAAGCAUCAACUUGUAAAUAUUUUCAAGUUUAUUAGCUGUAUGGCUCUGGUUUCUGUUCCCUGUUCCAAAUGUUAAAGUCUACUGUUGUAUUCUAAAAGCAGCCAUGGACUGAAUGUAGCUGUGUUCCAAUAAAACUUACACAAAAGCAGGCAGUGGGCCAUAAUUUGCAACACCUGAUUCACAGCAUAAUUUUGUCACAAACUGAAAGUGUUCCUCAAUUAAAGUGAUUUUUUUUUCUUGA
rnacentral:lncRNA from 10 species